rnacentral:rRNA from 1 species
UACGUAGGGGGCAAGCGUUGUCCGGAUUCAUUGGGCGUAAAGAGCGUGUAGGCGGCCAGGUAGGUCGGUUGUGAAAACUGGAGGCUCAACCUUCAGAGGUCGACCGAAACCAUCUGGCUAGAGUCCGGGAGAGGAGAGUGAAUUCCUGGUGUAGCGGUGAAAUGCGCAGAUAUCAGGAAGAACACCCGUGGCGAAAGCGGCUCUCUGGAACGGUACUGACGCUGAGACGCGAAAGCGUGGGGAGCGAACAGG